UAAUACGAAGGAUCCUAGCGUUGUCCGGAUUUACUGGGUUUAAAGGGUGCGUAGGCGGACUUUUAAGUCAGUGGUGAAAGCCUGCAGCUUAACUGUAGAAUUGCCAUUGAAACUGAUUGUCUCGAGUGCGGUUGAGGUCACUGGAAUAUAUCAUGUAGCGGUGAAAUGCUUAGAUAUGAUAUAGAACACCAAUUGCGAAGGCAGGU
rnacentral:rRNA from 1 species